UACGUAGGGUGCAAGCGUUAAUCGGAAUUACUGGGCGUAAAGCGUGCGCAGGCGGUUUUGUAAGUCUGUCGUGAAAUCCCCGGGCUCAACCUGGGAAUUGCGAUGGAGACUGCAAGGCUAGAAUCUGGCAGAGGGGGGUAGAAUUCCACGUGUAGCAGUGAAAUGCGUAGAGAUGUGGAGGAACACCGAUGGCGAAGGCAGCCCCCUGGGUCAAGAUUGACGCUCAUGCACGAAAGCGUGGGGAG
rnacentral:rRNA from 1 species